UCAACAUUGGCGUUGUUUGUUGGUUUUUUACGCGAGGCGGACGAUUGUUUUUGUAAAUCGUAUAAUUUACCCGUUCAGUAACUAAAUACUGUUCACAUUUUAAAUAACCGAGACAAAAAACUUAAUUAAUUCGUCGCAUAUUUAUUAUGGCAAAUAUGCGUUGCGCUAUAACUACUUGCAAAAUUUCAUAUCAUAACAAACCACCGGGUGUUACAUUUCAUUCGUGUCCAACCUCCAGUGAAAUGAGAAACAAAUGGCUUAUAUUACUCAAGAAUAAAUGCACUUUACUUGAUUGGGCCAAAAGUAAAAUAUGUUCAAAACAUUUCGAAAACAAAUAUUUUGACUCUCAAAGAAGACUCAAGGAGAAUGCUGUACCGACAUUGUUCCAAAAACAGGUUAAAGUAAUUAAGGAAGAAUAUGCUGCACAGACAAGGAUUGAAAGACUGAUAAAUAAACAAAGUCAAUCAGAGCUUACUAUCGGUGUGAAAAGUGCAAUCAGUGAAUUGCAGGAGCCAGAUGAUGUGAAUGCUUACGUUACGGAUGAUUUAAAAUGCAAAGCUGACGCACCUCAAGAAGUCGAACUGUGGCUGCUGGCCAAAAAACAGGACCAUCUGAUCACAAGGUUGAUGGAACAAAUUUCCCAACAUAAGAAGCAUGUGGAGGUACUUCAAAAGAAAAUGAAUGAAUCCAGAUCAUCCAAGAAAGAAAUGGAAUCAAAUGUGGAGUCUUUAAAGUACAUUGUAAAAUGCCUUCAAGAAAAACAUGCAACUCUUGAAGAACAAAUUGAAAUUUUGACUGCCGUAGAGUCCAGAUAGCAUGUAAUACAAAUACAAACAUUAUGAUACGCAUUUUACAUUGUGUUGCCUGCUAGACUUAAGACAUUUUGAAAAAAUAAGUGUUCUUUUAUUUUUGAAA